CUCAGGCAGAAAAGGGGAAAGAACGCAGAAAGAAAAGAGCAUGGACAGGAAGCAAAACCAAGAAGAAAAGAGAUUUUUUCUAAUUCCUUACUCGGUACUCAUCCAACGAGUUUUCACGGUGUGUUUUGAAUCUAUACCAAGAUGGAUUUAAUGAAUUCAUCAGUUAAGAAAACCACUUGCGUCUGUCUGUACCUGGAGGAAUUACAGUAGAUUUGUUAAAACAACUAAAAAGGGAAUUACGAGUCACACUAAGAAAACCAACAUCUAAACUAAACUGCUUACAUCUGUCUUUAAGACCAACGACACACCAACACACGCUGUGGGUGAGGUUUCACUUUGUGCUAACAAUUUGAAGAAGAAGGAGGAAGAGGAGGAGAUCAUUUCUCCUGCAGCAGAGCCGGGAUGUUGAUGUUCCAGCCGAUGGCCUGCCUGUCGAAGCCGCAGGAGAACAGGUUGCAGGUGGUGUUGUCCUCACACCAGGCGGAGCAGCAAACCAUCCGACGAUGACCCUGAACAACAACAUCCAGCCAUCAGCUUUGAUCUAACAACAAACUUCAGAGUUAAAAACUGAGUCUUUCAAGAUUCUUUCAGUUCUUGAAUUGUUUUUCUCAAGGUGGCAGCAGAUGCUGUGCAGCUGGAAGGAUUUUUGCUGAUACUGUUUUACUUUUGGACAUUUGUUAUGAUGCGUCACCAUGGCAACGAGGUUGUUUCUUACAGCCAGCACCAGCUGGUUAAUAUCUCAGAAGCUCAAAUAAUACUUCAA